GAUGAACGCUGGCGGCGUGCCUAAUACAUGCAAGUCGAGCGAACAGACGAGGAGCUUGCUCCUCUGACGUUAGCGGCGGACGGGUGAGUAACACGUGGAUAACCUACCUAUAAGACUGGGAUAACUUCGGGAAACCGGAGCUAAUACCGGAUAAUAUAUUGAACCGCAUGGUUCAAUAGUGAAAGACGGUUUUGCUGUCACUUAUAGAUGGAUCCGCGCCGCAUUAGCUAGUUGGUAAGGUAACGGCUUACCAAGGCGACGAUGCGUAGCCGACCUGAGAGGGUGGUCGGCCACACUGGAACUGAGACACGGUCCAGACUCCUACGGGAGGCAGCAGUAGGGAAUCUUCCGCAAUGGGCGGAAGCCUGACGGAGCAACGCCGCGUGAGGGAUGAAGGUCUUCGGAUCGUAAAACUCUGUUAUUAGGGAAGAACAAAUGUGUAAGUAACUAUGCACGUCUUGACGGUACCUAAUCAGAAAGCCACGGCUAACUACGGG
rnacentral:rRNA from 1 species